UGAUAUCCUGGCUUUUUGUCAUUUCAUUCUUAUAAUUUUUUUGUUCUGUCAAUGCAGCUAGUUACAACAUUGGUGUAGUUAUCUUGCUCUGGGCACCUGUAGUAUUGAUUGCAUUGUGGAAUAUGCAUCCAUUAUUCAAAGAAAGGGCGACAUUCCAAGCACUCACACUUUCUCUCCUUGCUAGCUAUAUUGGCUGACAAACUAAAGAAGUCAGUGGAGGAUGAAAUUCAUUUUCUCAAGGGAAGGGUUUCAGAACUUGAAAGUGAUCUUGUGUUGAAGUCCACGGAAGUUACAUCUGCAGUUUCAAGGAAAGAAAAGCUUUAUCUUCUGCAUUUGCUGAAAUUGACCGUCUGAAGGAAGAAAAUUCUGUAAAAAUGUAAGCAUUAUUGAAUGCAUAUGGAGGGUGUUUACUGUGUUGGAGUGUAUUUGUUUCUUGCACAUGAGGGAAGGCCUUAGUUGUAAUUCUUAUGAUAGGUUGAGCAAAGUGAAGUAUUGUUUAUUUAGAAAUGUGAAUGUAGGAUGCAUUGUAUGAUUUGAUUGUU